AGUGAACGCUGGCGGUAGGCCUAACACAUGCAAGUCGAACGGUAGCACAGUAAGAGCUUGCUCUUACGGGUGGCGAGUGGCGGACGGGUGAGGAAUACAUCGGAAUCUACUUUUUCGUGGGGGAUAACGUAGGGAAACUUACGCUAAUACCGCAUACGAUCUACGGGUGAAAGCAGGGGAUCUUCGGACCUUGCGCGUUUGAAUGAGCCGAUGUCGGAUUAGAUAGUUGGCGGGGUAAAGGCCCACCAAGGCGACGAUCCGUAGCUGGUCUGAGAGGAUGAUCAGCCACACUGGAACUGAGACACGGUCCAGACUCCUACGGAAGGCAGCAGUGGGGAAUAUUGGACAAUGGGCGCAAGCCUGCUCCUGCCAUGCCGCGGGGGGUGAGAAGGCCUUCGGGUUGUAAAGCCCUUUUGUUGGGAAAGAAGAGCAGCAGGUUAAUACCCCGCUGUUCUGACGGUACCCGAAGAAUAAGCACCGGCUAACUUCGUG
rnacentral:rRNA from 1 species